rnacentral:lncRNA from 1 species
CACAACAACAGGCAAGUUUCUGACGCCAGCUGGGUGUCCUACAAUUUGUCUCAAUUCUGACACUAUCUACCUGAAGACAAUGUCAGAUCCUACAGCAUGGCUUGACAAGCUGUGCCAUGUCCACACCCAGGAUCCAAACUGGCAAACUGCAGGCCACUGAAGCGGAACAUGUGAACUAAACUGCUGGGCCACCAGGCCAGCCCCUGCAUUUCCCUGAAGGCAGUCCUCUCUGAAGUGUGAGCCCUGCCAGGAGCUUCGAGAACACCGCAGGGCAUGACUUUGCCGUUCAUUCAACAAACACCCACUGAGCACCAGCUGGACCCUGCAGACCCAGAGAUGGAGCAGCCCGGGUGGAGGCCUUGCCUGGGUCUGUCCAGCAGGAGAGCCCCGCCUGAAUGCAAACACCUGAGAUCAAUGCAGAUGCCCUGAGCAGAGCUGCUCUUCUUAUGCAACUCUGUUUCGAAGAGCGGAGUUCUUAACCUGGGGUCCACAGAGAGAACCCUGGGAGGAGGAGACCACAGGACAGCAGCCAGAGGUUUCUGAAAUUGGACAAAAAAAUUUUCCAUCUUCUUUUCACCCACCUCUGACUAUUUACUUUCCCAUCAGUUAUGAAUGGGGACGCAAACCUCAGUGAUGUCAGCUGUACCUGUGACUUCAUCACCAACAGAAAUCCAGAUAUUUUCAAAUCACAUUUCGACUGAAGCAGAAAUCUCUAGAUAUCGCUUACACUCACUGCUACUUCAAAAUGAUGGAUUUCAGACUUGCAGCUUUGGUCUUGUUAUUUAAUGUGUUAAAAAGUAAAACACACUACUACAUUACAC